ACCUGGGUGGCUCAGUCAGUUAAGCGUCUGACUUUGGCUCAGGUCAUGAUCUCACGGUUCGUGGGUUCGAGCCCCACGUCGGGCU
rnacentral:tRNA from 1 species